rnacentral:rRNA from 1 species
UUGUGGCCGUAUACCAUAUGGGCGAUGAUUAGCCGCGCGAUUUGCCCUUAGAGUUUGAUCCUGGCUCAGGCUGAACGCUGGCGGCGUGCCUAACACAUGCAAGUCGAGCGAAGCACUUAAGUUCGAUUCUUCGGAUGAAGACUUAUUUGACUGAGCGGCUGACGGGUGAGUAACGCGUGGGUAACCUGCCUCAUACAGGGGAAUAGCAGUUGGAAACGACUGAUAAUGCCGCAUAAGCGCACAGCAUCGCAUGGUGCAGUGUGAAAAACUCCGGUGGUAUGAGAUGGACCCGCGUCUGAUUAGCUAGUUGGUGGGGUAACAGCCUACCAAGGCGACGAUCAGUAGCCGGCCUGAGAGGGUGAACGGCCACAUUGGGACUGAGACACGGCCCAAACUCCUACGGGAGGCAGCAGUGGGGAAUAUUGCACAAUGGGGGAAACCCUGAUGCAGCAACGCCGCGUGAGUGAAGAAGUAUUUCGGUAUGUAAAGCUCUAUCAGCAGGGAAGAAAAUGACGGUACCUGACUAAGAAGCACCGGCUAAAUACGUGCCAGCAGCCGCGGUAAUACGUAUGGUGCAAGCGUUAUCCGGAUUUACUGGGUGUAAAGGGAGCGUANGCGGCGGGGCAAGUCAGAAGUGAAAGCCCGGGGCUCAACCCCGGGACUGCUUUUGAAACUGUUCUGCUAGAGUGUCNGAGAGGUAAGCGGAAUUCCUAGUGUAGCGGUGAAAUGCGUAGAUAGUAGGAGGAACACCAGUGGUGAUGCUGCUUAGUGGCGGAUUACUGACUCUGGAGGGAGGAAGCGUUGGGUAGCAAACAGGAUAGCAUACCCUGUUUGUCCACGCUUACGGGGAUGAAUAAUAGGGUCUGGGGUACUAGAGUACUUCGGGGCCAUGGCACAUGCAGUAACUAUUCCACCUGGGGGAGGACGUUAGCAUAAAUGUAACUCCGAGGGAUGGCAGGGGACCCGCCCGAGCGUUGGAGCAUGUGGCUUUAUUUGUAGCCACGCGAAGUACAUUACCAAGUCUCGACAUCCCACUGACCGGACAGUAAUGUGUCCAUCUAGGUUGGACCAGUGGUGACAGUUGGCGCAUGGUUGUCGUCAGCUCGGAUCGUGAGAUGUUUGGCAAUGUCCCACGUGCGAGCGCAACCUCUGUCGUUAGUAGCCAGCAGUAAGAUGGGCAGUCUAGGGAGACUGCCGGGGAUUACUCGGAGGAAGGCGGGUAUGAUGUCACAUGAUCAUGCCCCUUAUGAUCAGGGGAACACACGUGCUUACAAUGACAGUAUACAAUAGGGAAGCAACCCUGUGAAGGUGAGCGAGUCUCGUUAAUCACGUGUCAGUUAGGAUUGUAGUGUGCCAGUUCGAAUAACUUGUAGUUGGAAUGGAUUAGUAACCAGCGGAUCAGAAUGUCGCGCAGGAUACGUUCACCGGGUCCAGUACACACCGCCCGUCAGGGCGAAUUCGUGGACGAUUCAGGGCUAGUCCAUUCAGUGAGGUAUUUGGCUGCUCGG